rnacentral:rRNA from 1 species
GACGAACGCUGGCGGCGUGCUUAACACAUGCAAGUCGAACGGAAGGGCCCUGCUUUUGUGGGGUGCUCGAGUGGCGAACGGGUGAGUAACACGUGAGUAACCUGCCCUUGACUUUGGGAUAACUUCAGGAAACUGGGGCUAAUACCGGAUAGGAGCUCCUGCUGCAUGGUGGGGGUUGGAAAGUUUCGGCGGUUGGGGAUGGACUCGCGGCUUAUCAGCUUGUUGGUGGGGUAGUGGCUUACCAAGGCUUUGACGGGUAGCCGGCCUGAGAGGGUGACCGGCCACAUUGGGACUGAGAUACGGCCCAGACUCCUACGGGAGGCAGCAGUGGGGAAUAUUGCACAAUGGGCGGAAGCCUGAUGCAGCAACGCCGUGUGCGGGAUGACGGCCUUCGGGUUGUAAACCGCUUUCGCCUGUGACGAAGCGUGAGUGACGGUAAUGGGUAAAGAAGCACCGGCUAACUACGUG